rnacentral:rRNA from 1 species
GUCUACAGCCAUACCACCCUGAAUGCACCCAAUCUCAUCUGAUCUCAGAAGCUAAGCAGGGUCGGGCCUAGCUAAUACCUGGACGGGAGACCGCCUGGGAAUACCAGGUGCUAUAGGCU